GCGAUAGUGGUGUAAUGGCAGCACAGGAGAUUGUGGAUCUUCAGGACUGGGUUCGAAUCCCGGCUAUCGCC
rnacentral:tRNA from 1 species